CUCCCAAAUUGUAAACAGACGAAGACGAAGCAGACAAUAGUAGAUCGACACCAAACAGACACGAAACAUAACAGGAUUAUUAAUCCAGAAACGAAGCAGGACUAAACAAGUUUCUUACAACAUAAGAUGUUGUAAACGACAUACGACGACAGAUAACAGUUCAAACCGACACACCGACACACAACAAGAUAAGAUAGGAGCCACUCGGGCAGAUCAUAGGAUAACCGCGGCACACAGGCCUGACACAGCAGCAGGAAGCAUCGUCUAGUACUCGUCACCCUCGUCUCCUUCCUCGCCCUCGUCGAACUCAGCGCCGACCUCCUCGUAGUCCUUCUCGAGCGCAGCCAGGUCCUCACGGGCCUCAGAGAACUCGCCCUCCUCCAUGCCCUCACCCACGUACCAGUGAACGAAGGCACGCUUGGCGUACAUGAGGUCAAACUUGUGGUCGAUGCGGGAGAACACCUCGACCACGCUGGUGGAGUUGGAGAUCAUGCACACGGCACGCUGCACCUUGGCCAGGUCACCGCCAGGCACCACGCUGGGGGGCUGGUAGUUGAUGCCGCACUUGAACCCAGUGGGGCACCAGUCCACGAACUGGAUGGUGCGCUUGGUCUUGAUGGUGGCAACAGCAGCGUUGACGUCCUUGGGCACCACAUCACCACGGUACAUGAGGCAGCAAGCCAUGUACUUGCCAUGGCGGGGGUCGCACUUGGCCAUCAUGGAGGACGGCUCAAAGGCGCUGUUGGUGAUCUCUGCAACAGACAGCUGCUCAUGGUAGGCCUUCUCGGCAGAGAUGACUGGUGCAUAGGAUGAAAGCAUGAAGUGGAUCCUCGGGUAGGGCACCAAGUUGGUCUGGAACUCGUUCACAUCCACGUUCAGAGCACCAUCGAACCUCAGGGAGGCAAUCAGAGAUGAGAUGACCUGCAUCACAACAAUGAUGACGAACAGAAGGUUAGACAAGCACAGAUUUCAGAACCAUUCACAAUGCAGAGGGACAACACUGAAUGUUGCGACAGUAAACCAAGGCAGUACCUGAGACACGAGCCUGUUGAGGUUGGUGUAGGUGGGGCGCUCAAUGUCAAGGGAGCGGCGGCAGAUGUCAUAGAUGGCCUCAUUGUCAAGCAGAACAGCAACAUCAGUGUGCUCGAGGAGGGAGUGGGUGGACAGGACACUGUUGUAUGGCUCAACCACUGAGGUGGAGACCUGGGGAGAUGGGUACACAGUGAACCCGAGCUUGGACUUCUUGCCAUAGUCAACAGACAGACGCUCAAGGAGGAGAGAACCAAGACCAGAGCCUGUUCCUCCACCAACAGCAUUGAAGACAAGGAAGCCCUGGAGACCAGUGCAGUUGUCGGCAAGCUUCCUGAUGCGGUCAAGGCACAGGUCAACAAUCUCCUUGCCAACUGCAAGACAAGCAAUCAAAGUCAGACUUUCAAUGAAGGAUGGAUAACUGGAAACAAUGUGCACUUUGAGAUCAGAUCAUGUUACUUACUGGUGUAGUGACCACGGGCAAAGUUAUUGGCAGCAUCCUCCUUGCCACUGAUGAGCUGCUCAGGGUGGAAGAGCUGGCGGUAAGUACCAGUCCUCACCUCAUCAAUCACAGUGGGCUCAAGGUCAACAAAAACAGCACGGGGCACAUGCUUCCCAGCACCAGUCUCACUGAAGAAGGUGUUGAAAGCAUCAUCACCUCCUCCAACGGUCUUGUCGCCGGGCAUCUGGCCAUCAGCCUGAACAGAGCAAAACAAGCAGCAUUAGAGAUGCAAAUCACAAAUGGAAACAGUUAGAUUAGAUAACACAAAGGCACAUCAUAAACAAGCUAAUAAGAUAACUGCAUACCACACGACUGCCUGUACGAGCAAGUUAACAUCUAGGUAAUAUAAUUAUGACUGAUCAAUAAGAUCUAGGAAUACAUGUACAUGAGAGGCAUAGACACAUUCUAAGCCAACUAGCCUAGUACACUCUAGUACAGCAGGCAGAUCUAGAUCUUACAAGGAAUAACAACACAUAGGCCAUGCCUUUCAAACCAUUACAUCGAAUUCAUACAUCCUAAUGUAUCAUGCUUAAUUACAGAUUGCAAGGACAUUAUUUAGCAAAUGUACAUGAACACUGCAGAAACCUGAAUAGCAAAACACAGCCGUCACUAGCCCACUUCUAACUGAGAAUGAUUCGAAUUUUUAACAAUAUCUACGUUAAAUUAUAAUAAGCACAUUUUUCCACACAACAAGCAUCUAGAUCUAAACAGAUGUUACGAACCGGAGACUCUACUUUCUUAAAAUAGAGACCAACAAUGUUCAGAUCCACCCAAGAAUAAGCUAAAUCAGCACCAAUUAAGCUAACAGAUCUACUGAAUCAACAACACCAGGUAAAAUAAUGAGUAAUUCCGGCUAAUUCCCAUUCAAAUUCCACAUCUGCAUACCCAGAUCUAUAAUAAUAACAACUGCAAAUAGCCACCAUUUCACCAGACCUACGGCUUAUGCCAAGCAAUCGCAGAUCUGGGCAGCCACCAUCACACACAGCUAGAUCCGCACAGUUCUACAGAUUUCAAAUGCCAUAACCCCCCCCCCCUACUCAGAUCCACUAAAUCCAGCACAAAUCAACCCGACAUACGCCCUGAUCUACCACAGAUCUGGCAUCGAGAAGCGAAAACGAAGGCGAAAUGGACGGAUCGGUACCUGAAUGCCAUGCUCGAGGCAGUAGAGCUCCCAGCACGCGUUUCCGACCUGUAUACCGGCCUGGCCGAUGUGGAUCGAGAUGCACUCCCUCAUGGUGUCGUCGGAAGGGUGGUGCGGCGGCGACGGCGGCGGCGGUAGGGAAUGGGAGGACGGGGAAAGCUUUGAGUCGCGAGAGAGGCGAGUACGAAGACGCCUUCCUCUGCGGUGCUCGGCUU
rnacentral:lncRNA from 1 species